rnacentral:lncRNA from 1 species
GCUGCCAGCAUGGCUAGAAUAAAAGCAGGCAGAGGAACAUGGAAGAACUAGACUGGCUUAGUCUCCUGUCCUACAUCUUCCUCCCAUGCUGGAUGCUUCCUGCCCUCGAACAUCAGACUCCAAGUUCUACUCUUGAACCUUGGACCCCCAACUGAGAGCUGCACUGUCAGCUUCCCUACUUUUGAGGUUUUGGGACUCAGAUUGGCUUCCUUACUCCUCAGCUUGCAGAUGGCCUAUUGUGGGACUUUACCUUGUGAUUGUGUUCCCAUCAUUUCUACCGCUUUCAUCAGUUCUUGUGCAGCAGAAUGAGGUCCCAGCAGGGUUUUCUCUCAUUGCUGCCUCCACCCUCUGCCUUGUCAGAAGUCUGACCCAGACCUCCCUGGACUAAACUCAAGAUGUCAUCAGAGGCUGGAGUGCAGUGGUGCAAUUAUGGAUCGAGGUUAACUGCAGUCUCAACUUCUCAACCUUGUGAAUUCAAGCAAUCCUCCCACCUCAGCCUCCCAAGUAGCCGGAACUACAGGCAUUUAACACCACAUCCAGCUAAUUUUUAAAAAAAUAUUUUGUAGAGACCGGGUCUCACCCUGUUGCCCAAGCUGAUCUCAAACUCCAUGGUUCGACCUCCUGAUGCCCAAAUCCUGGAAUUACAGGCAUAAGCCUCUGCACCUGGCUGCUUUCUUCCUCUCAAGAGCUUUUCAGAAUUCAAAUGGUUUGAAACUUUAUUGAGAUUAAAGUGAUCAUUUUUUUUUCUUUCUUUCUAUUUUGUUAUUAUUGUUGUCGUUUUGAGACAGAGUCUUACUCUGUCUCACAGGCGGGAGUGCAGUGGCAUAAUCUCGGCUCACGGAAGCCUCCACCUCCCGCAUUCAAGUGAUUCUCAUGUUUCAGCCUCCCAAGUAGCUGGGAUUACAGGUGUGUGCCACCAUGUCUGGCUAAUUUUGUAUUUUUAGUAGAGACGGGGUUUUGCCAUAUUGGCCAGCCUGGUCUCGAACUCCUGGCCUCAAGCGAUCCACCCGUCUCAGCCUCCCAAAGUGCUGGAAUUACAAGCAUGAGCCACUACACCUGGCCCAAUUUUUUUCUUUUAUGGUUCAAGUCUAUGAAUUCUUUUGUCUAUGCUUAGAUCCUGCAAAUUUUUUCCUAAAAGUUUUACAGUUUAACAUUUUACAUUUAAUUCCAUAAUUCAUUUUGAGUUAUUUUUUGUAAUAAAGUGUGAGGCUUAGGUCAAGGUGUUUUCUUUUAUUUGUUUUUGUUAUUGUUGUUUGUUUUGUUGCUGUUGAUGUCUACUUGUUCCAGUACCAUUUGCUGAAAAGACCAUCUUUUCUCCAUUGAUUAAUUUUGUAAGACCAUAACUCUUAACAUCAAAGAAGACACAACUUUAUCUAUAUUUUCUUAUAUCUAAGAAAAGCAGUAGUUUUUGUUUAGAGAGUGCUAAUUGUGUGCCAAAGCACUAUCCUAAGCUUCUUAUAUAUCUUUACCCAUUUCCUUGCCUCAAUGACUCAUUACUCAUUUAAUUGUCUUAAUAACUCCUUGAAGUAAGUAUUAUUGUUUCCAUCUCACAGAUAAUGAAACUAAAAUUUAGCCAGGUUAAAUGAUUUGCUCAAAGUCACAAAGCUAGUGAGUUGGAAAGCUGGGAUUCGGACCCAAGCGAUAUUCCCCUAAAGACUGUGCUGUUAACCUUCAUGAAUGCUGCAUUAUUUACAGUGCGCCAGAUAUUUAGCAAAAUACUGAACAUUUUGCUGUUUUUCUCACUGUUAUCACAAGGCAUUUCAACUAACGUAAUAAUAAAAGACUCUCUCCUCACAUCCCUUUUUUUAAGUUUCAUGUGUUUGAUGUUUUAUUCAUAUCAAAACCCUCAUGUCCAUGAAAAUACAAUUUAAGAGUCAAAAAGCAUAAAAUUAUAUUUCCAAAUUUGGAGUCUGUUUCACAAGCUGAAGCGCACAGUUUUGAUACCUUGACAAUCUUUCUG